UUACGGCCAUAUCAUGUUGAAACACGGGUUUCCGUACGAUCACCGAAGUUAAGCAACAUAGAGCGUGGUCAGUACCUAAACGGGUGACCGCUUGGGAAAUAUGCGG